GGAUCUGUGGCGCAAUGGUAGCGUGUCUGACUCCAGAUCAGACGAUUGAUCCC
rnacentral:sRNA from 1 species